UACGGAGGGGGCUAGCGUUGUUCGGAAUUACUGGGCGUAAAGCGCACGUAGGCGGCUUUGUAAGUUAGAGGUGAAAGCCCGGGGCUCAACUCCGGAAUUGCCUUUAAGACUGCAUCGCUUGAACACGGGAGAGGUGGGUGGAAUUCCGAGUGUAGAGGUGAAAUUCGUAGAUAUUCGGAAGAACACCAGUGGCGAAGGCGGCUCACUGGACCGUUGUUGACGCUGAGGUGCGAAAGCGUGGGGAGCAAACAGG
rnacentral:rRNA from 1 species